UACGUAGGCAGCAAGCGUUGUUCGGAAUUACUGGGCGUAAAGAGUGUGUAGGCGGUGCUCUAAGUUCGGUGUGAAAUCUCCCGGCUUAACUGGGAGGGUGCGCCGGAAACUGGAGUGCUUGAGCGCGGGAGAGGGAAGCGGAAUUCCUGGUGUAGCGGUGAAAUGCGUAGAUAUCAGGAGGAACACCUGUGGUGUAGACGGCUUUCUGGACCGUAGCUGACGCUGAGACACGAAAGCGUGGGUAGCAAACAGG
rnacentral:rRNA from 1 species